rnacentral:rRNA from 1 species
CAGUAGCCACGGUAAUACAGAGGGUGCGAGCGUUAAUCGGAUUUACUGGGCGUAAAGCGUGCGUAGGCGGCUUUUUAAGUCGGAUGUGAAAUCCCUGAGCUUAACUUAGGAAUUGCAUUCGAUACUCGGAAGCUAGAGUAUGGGAGAGGAUGGUAGAAUUCCAGGUGUAGCGGUGAAAUGCGUAGAGAUCUGGAGGAAUACCGAUGGCGAAGGCAGCCAUCUGGCCUAAUACUGACGCUGAGGUACGAAAGCAUGGGGAGCAAACAGGAUUAGAUACCCGAGUAGUCCCUGUCUCUUAUAC